AGGGAGGUGGACAGGUGACAGUGCCGCAGACGUCAUUGGUCCGCCAGCAGGUUUCCACUGUGGUGGUGCACCCACUUCUGGUACAGCGGUAGCACUUCAGAGCCUCUGCUGAGAAACAAAUAGAGACUGCCUGCUUCUCUGUGCUGGCCCAUUCCCCGGUCCUCUCUCGCUGUCUUACCUGGUUGUCGGCUCCAGAUGUUUUGGGUCUGGAUCUUUGUCCUGUUGUCUCACUCUCGCUUUAUAUGUUGGGCUUGUUUGGUGUCCCUGGACUUUGCCUCUGGUGUGCUCUGUGCCUUCCUGUGCGUCAGACACUCCGCCAUCUUGAAGCAGGACUUGUGGAAAGUGUUCUCCGUGGAAAUAAACACAUUUGAUACCAUUCUUCCUCCAAGAGGACGCCAUGCUGCGUCUCUUCCAACAGUCUCUCUGAAAGCCUGAGACAUUUCUGUGUAUUGUUGGUUAAAGGGGUUUAGGGUUGUUUAACAUGUCAGUAAAACACGUCCUGCUUGUGAAUGGUGUUUCAGAGAAACUAACCCUCCCGUGCAAAAAUGUGAUGGGAGAGAGCUGACCAUCAUCUACUGCAGGAGCAGGAGAGCCAAUGCAAAGACUUCCAUGUUGUGUUUGUCUGCUGACGUCUGCAGAGGAGAUGAAUCAAAUAAAUAGCUGAAUGACACUGAGACCCUCUAUAGUUGCUGUGCACCUCUCAUCUGCCUCCUCUCUCCUUUAAUACCAUUCAUCACUCUGGCACAUCACUGCGGUGGGAAAGUGUCCAUAUUGCUGGAAACGUUUCAAGUAGAAUUUACAGUAUGUCUUUUCCGAAAUGGAGCAUGUGAAGGAA